UCCGAUCCCUGCCUCUUUUGGAAGAAUGAAAAUUCUCUGGUUCCAAUUCCUCGCCCCAAGCGAGAAAUCUUAUUAGAAAAGCGAGACAAGAAUGUUUGUAAAGGCCGGCGAUGACUCGGGAUUUCCGGCAAGUAGUAGAACACCUUUCUCGUCUCAAACCAGAAGCGGUGAAUAACUGAUCAAAGACCGAGCAACCGCCAAGUUUCCUAAACAGCCGUCGGGAAAGGUAUUCAAUUGAAAAGAACAGCCUUGUUCAUCAUCGAAUGCCAUUUCUGGAUCAGGAUUUUCUAUAAGACGGAAGAGAUCAAAAGCUCCACACAACAGCAGCAGAGAAAUGUCAGAUUCCCGGGUUAUGAAAUCCAGGACUCUGAAUAGCUCUGCCCAGUCAAAGACUCAGAAACAAUGAAGAAUGUAGAUUGCACAAACAUGAAAAUGAAAUGACCAAGUAAUGUCUCUGAAACUAGAUUCUGGAUGUAAUCUAUACAGACUUUAACUCAAAAAAGCUUACCAAUUUAUACUAGGUUGUUUCUAGACAGGUGAGUAGACCCUGAAACUUUAUAUGUAGACAGCCGUCGGGAACAGGUAAAUUCCGUUCACGGAUUCUGAGAAAUGAGUUUCUCAGUUCUGAUCGAGAUCUUCUUUAUUCAUCCAAAGAAAAACCCUGUUUCCAGACAAAAGAGCAGCACUGGCUAAGGAUCAGCACCAGUAAGCGCGUCAGAGGCGAGGAAUUGGAACCAGUGAAUUUCCAUGCGGCGGCGUCAGAGGCGGGGAUCGGAACCGGUGAUUUUUUUUUAGCUGUUACGAUAACUUCAGUGGCGAUUGGAUACCUGUACAUAUACAAGCUUCCAAAGAACACAUACAAUAAAUAUCAUCCUUAUACAUCAUGGAUUCCAAUAACGUGUGCCUAUAUAACCUUGUUCAACUGCUAGUUUAUCUAGUGUGCUAGAUGGGCAGCCUAAAAAGUUGCUGUGUUUGAUCCCAGAGUAUCCAUUGCUGAACUUCAUGCUUACAACUGCGAUUUAUGUAGCUGUUUCUUAUAGGCUCUUUGAAUUGACAAAUACAUUAAAAUCUACCAAGCAAAGACAACAAACGGCUGGCUAUAAUGCAAUUGCUGCCUUAUUAAUAGGAAGUGCCAUAUACACAUUGUCUUCUAUAUUCUUGAGGCUAUCUCGGAUAAUAGUAU